rnacentral:rRNA from 1 species
UACGAAGGGGGCUAGCGUUGCUCGGAAUCACUGGGCGUAAAGGGUGCGUAGGCGGGUCUUUAAGUCAGAGGUGAAAUCCUGGAGCUCAACUCCAGAACUGCCUUCGAUACUGGCGAUCUUGAGUCCGGAAGAGGUGAGUGGAACUCCUAGUGUAGAGGUGGAAUUCGUAGAUAUUAGGAAGAACACCAGUGGCGAAGGCGGCGAUCUGGGUCGAUACUGACGCUGAGGUGCGAAAGCGUGGGGAGCAAACAGG